CUUAUCAACUUCCCUCUUCAACUCAGCCCACAGGUUUUCAUUUAUCAACUUCCCUCUUCAACUCAGCCCACAGGUUUUCACUUAUCAACUUCCCUCUUCAACUCAGCCCACAGGUUUUCACUUAUCAACUUCCCUCUUCAACUCAGCCCACAGGUUUGCACUUAUCAACUUCCCUCUUCAACUCAGCCCACAGGUUUUCACUUAUCAACUUCCCUCUUCAACUCAGCCCACAGGUUUGCACUUAUCAACUUCCCUCUUCAACUCAGCCCACAGGUUUUCACUUAUCAACUUCCCUCUUCAACUCAGCCCACAGGUUUUCACUUAUCAACUUCCCUCUUCAACUCAGCCCACAGGUUUUCACUUAUCAACUUCCCUCUUCAACUCAGCCCACAGGUUUGCACUUAUCAACUUCCCUCUUCAACUCAGCCCACAGGUUUUCAUUUAUCAACUUCCCUCUUCAACUCAGCCUACAGGUUUUCACUUAUCAACUUCCCUCUUCAACUCAGCCUACAGGUUUUCAUUUAUCAACUUCCCUCUUCCACUCAGCCCACAGGUUUUCCAUUGGAUUUAGGUCCAGCAACUGAGAUGGCAGAACAAUGAUUUUGUUGUUUGUUUGGUCUCAUCUGACCAGAGCACCUUCUUC